AAUAAAUUAAUUUUGGCAUUUAAUAUAUUAAGGAAUUAAAUUCCUCUUGCCAUUUGACAUUUUACAGAACCACACCUGCUUUAUUGAAAACGUUGGUUUGCUUUGUGUCUCUUUCGCGCUCGACUGUCAAGUUUGUUUUGAUUUAAUUUUGUGAUGCAGCAAGCUGCAACGCGGAUACUGUUUUUUCGCCGAUAUUACAGGAAAAGUUUAUGGAGCAGCACCGGAAAAGGACAAACUGCCGGAGAGCAUCGGAACAUCCAACGCCAUCGAAUUCCACCGCAAGUGGAAACUUGUUCAUCUCAGCUGGACAGAUUGUUCCGCUAAGCAUCGUUCUCGCAUGGUUCUAAUUGGUUCGUCGCACCGCUGCUGGAAGUGUUGCAUUCCUCUUGAAGGACUGCUUCCUCCAAACGGGAUGUUGUUGCUGUGGGUGCCGCGGCCGUUCAACAUGCGUCGGGACAAUGUCGAUGGGUGAUCGAUGUUCCGCUGGUCAAAGGCUGGUGCUAGGAGUACUGCUCGUCGGGAAAUCAGUUGAAAUCUUCUUGGUUACGUGCUGAACGCGUUAAAAUACCGCAAGCCGCAGGUGCAGAAGAAGCAGUACCAGUUCCGUUCGCUCAGCGCGACUCAGUUCUUCCAAGCAUCGACUCUGCCUGGUAUAAUUUGCUUAACCUGAACAGUUUUCAUUUGGAUCGCGAUUUUAAUGUAAAACUUAUAAAGACGUUUACUAAAAAGGAUUGUGAGGUGCGAUUCGUAGAUGCUUGUGCCGGGGAAUUGUGCUUUUAUUCAUCAUGCGCAAAGUCAAGUUGUGAAAUAAAAUAAAUAUAAAUAAAAAAUCUAUUCUAACAUGAUAGCGAGAACAUCACUUAAGGGUGCACAGCAACCAAGGAAGUUGUUGUCUUCUUAUUCCAAAAUUGUCAAACUUACGGACCCAAUUUUAUUACCCAAAAUUUAUUAUAAUUUUUUCAUUAAGCAUAUUUUUUAAAUAAAGGGCAAGUACUUGUACUUCGACUGACACCAUAUUAACAAAUCAAACUUCCGUCCGAUACCGAAAGUAGAAGCGGUUUGCUCCUUGCCGAAGCUCAAUUCCAUAAGCAGCUUCUAGGAUGAUGUCCAAGUUCUUCGACGCAAUCGCGAAGAAAAAUCAGAGAGAGAACGUUGCCAGCGAGGACGUGCUGAGCACCUGAGCCGGCGCCGGUUCGGUAUUGAUGAGAUAAUUGUUGCUGAUUUGUUCGAACAUUUGAUCAACAAAGUUUUUUUGCGGCACCUCUUUUUGACGAACAUUUCUGUUGCCACCUUUUGGUUCCUUGGAUUAGCCAUGGAUAUUUUCAUAGUGUAAUAGUGAGUUAUCUAAGCCCGAGCUCACGCACACUAGCACUCCAUUUGUUUUGCUGGCGGGUACAAAAUUUAACCUCAAUGUUUUUCGUGUACGUUCACGCAAUACAUGCGCACGUAGAUAACUCUAUGAACAGGGCAGCUACCACCACGCAGCGCCACCAGCGUAAAAGAGCAUCUUUUAUUACGUAACGCUGUUGGUGGUGUAGGUUGAGGGGGUGGGAGGUUCGAACGAGUUAAGUAUUUUUUUUGAAAUUUGUAUGGACAUUUUAAACGAAGGGGGAGGGGAUCCUAAAAUCCAAAUUUUAGCGUUACGUAAUAAAAGAAGUGUACCCAAAUGAGCAGGCAUUCGUUGGUUGGUUUCUAGCCGAGUUCUAACACAGUUUCCAUUUUCUUAUAGAUACAUAAAUGUAGUGACAUUCUAGCAGGAUUCUUACAGAACCAGCUCUGCUAUAAUAUUUCGUGCCUGGGCAACGUUAUUGCUUCACCGAGUAACAGCAUUAAACUUUUUUUAGUUCAACUAAAGUUCAACUUUAGUUAUUUAUCAACCCACACCAACAACUGCGUUACGUAAUAAAAUAAUGCUCUUUUACGCUGCGUGGUGGCAUAGAUUAUUAAUUACCUAGAUGUCUCACUUCGGGAUUUUUCCAUACAUCCAGUUGGCGACACCCCUUUAGCGCUCCGAGCGCCACCACAGUCAAGUUACAGAGGAAGAUGCUCGGCCUCCAGCGUAAGCUAGUAACGCAAGCGGCAACGGCAGCUGCAGAGACGAUUCCGAGCCGCAGAUCAAAACAAAGAAACCAAAGGAGGAGGAUGUGACCCAACUUCAAGCCAAGGUCAAACAGUGCCCACUAGGUGGCGAAAUAGAAGCAGGUUCGCGCCGCUCCCAGGUGGUACGUCCCGUGUGGUACCGACGGUGAACGAACUAAGUGCAAUCCGAGUUAUAAGGUGAUUUUUGCUGGUGAAGAUAAAUAAGAAGUGACCACAAAACUGAUCCAGCCAUAUGCGUGUCGGAUUGAGAGGGGUCACCGCUGCCUUCUGAUCACCCGUCUGACCCGAAAUGGCAUGGAGCAAGAACAACCUUGAGCUUUCAAAGUGGCAGCUCCCAAGUUUAGACAAUAAAAAUUCAAAACAGAUUCAGAACCGUUUUAUUGUGCAUCUUUAAAUCACUACUACUUGAGUAUUAUUACAAAUUAAAAUUUGCAGAAAAAUCAUAGCAUUUUCACUAGUUCUUGACACUUUUGCCAGCAGGGCACUUGAUUCGUCGUGGUAUUUUUGAUUGUCCGAGUAUUCUCGUUCAGUAUCGCAAUGAAAUGCAGGAGAACACGACAGAUUUUGGAGGAACCACGGAGGAACCGGUAUUCGGCAAGAG